rnacentral:rRNA from 1 species
AUGGACAGUGGAGACGAGUUUUUCUUUCAUCACUUCCUUUGUUCGUCGGACGAUUCGUCGUCGGAUGAUGAAGAUCUUGUGGUGGCUGCACUGGUUGUUCACGACCAUAUUCAACGGCAGCUUCCUCGGUACAGGGGGUCACUCCCUGGCCGUGCUCCCAACCUGAACCGCAACAGGGAGAGAGGCCACGCCCUGCUUUAUGCCGAUUACUUUGCCAACACCCCGCUCUUCAAGCAGGAUAAAUUUCGUCGCCGUUUUCGUAUGCCAAGGCAUGUGUUCAAUCGUAUCCGAGAGGGAGUGGUUGCUCAUGACCCAUACUUCGAGUGCAAGGCGGAUGCCCUUGGCAAGCUUGGGUUCUCCUCUUAUCAGAAAUGCACCGUGGCCAUCCGCAUGCUUGCAUAUGGUAUUCCAGGCGAUCUGGUGGACGAGUAUGUGCGUAUGAGUGAGACAACAUGUCUGAUGUCAAUGUACAAGUUUUGCCAGGCCGUGAUCGAGGUGUUUGGCCCAGAGUACUUGAGACAGCCAACUGCCGCUGAUACAGAGAGAUUGUUGGCGACCAACGCAGCUAGAGGCUUUCCAGGCAUGCUUGGCAGCAUAGAUUUCUUCGCAAGGCUUGCAGAAGGCCACUCCCCACCUAUCAACUUUGAGAUCAACGGCCACCAGUACAACAAGGGAUACUAUCUAGCAGAUGGUAUAUAUCCUCAAUGGUCAACUUUUGUGAAGACAAUCUCGAAACCCCAAGGUGAGAAGAGAAAGAGAUUUGCCCAAAUGCAAGAGAGUGUUAGAAAGGAUGUAGAACGUGCUUUUGGUGUGCUUCAAUCCCGGUGGGGUAUCGUUCAAAACCCUGCACUGUCAUGGGAUGAAAGGAAGCUUUGGGAGGUGAUGACUGCUUGUGUGAUUAUGCACAACAUGAUCGUCGAGGACGAGCGUGAUGAGAGUAUCUUCGACCAAGGAUUUGAUUAUCAAGGUGAAAAUAUUGAGCCCCUGCACCAAGACCCGACCACAUUUGAACAGUUUGUCCAAUUCCACCGUGAGAUGCGUGAUUGGCACACUCAUUUGAAUCUUCAAAAUGACUUGGUUGAGCACGUCUGGGAUCACAUUGGCAACCAAUAG